rnacentral:rRNA from 1 species
GACGAACGCUGGCGGCGUGCCUAAUACAUGCAAGUCGAGCGGAUGGAAGGAAGCUUGCUUCCUAAAGUCAGCGGCGGACGGGUGAGUAACACGUGGGCAACCUGCCCCUAAGAUCGGGAUAACUUCGGGAAACCGGAGCUAAUACCGGAUAUGAUUAUGUCUCACAUGAGACAUAAUGGAAAGACGGUUUCGGCUGUCACUUAGGGAUGGGCCCGCGGCGCAUUAGCUAGUUGGUGAGGUAACGGCUCACCAAGGCGACGAUGCGUAGCCGACCUGAGAGGGUGAUCGGCCACACUGGGACUGAGACACGGCCCAGACCCCUACGGGAGGCAGCAGUAGGGAAUCUUCCGCAAUGGACGAAAGUCUGACGGAGCAACGCCGCGUGAGUGAAGAAGGUUUUCGGAUCGUAAAACUCUGUUGUUAGGGAAGAACAAGUACCAUAGUAACUGAUGGUACCUUGACGGUACCCAACCAGAAAGCCACGGCUAACUACGUGCCAGCAGCCGCCGUAAGAC